rnacentral:rRNA from 1 species
CCUACGGGAGACAGCAGUGAGGAAUAUUGGUCAAUGGGCGCGAGCCUGAACCAGCCAAGUAGCGUGAAGGAUGACUGCCCUACGGGUUGUAAACUUCUUUUAUAAAGGAAUAAAGUGAGGCACGUGUGCCUUUUUGUAUGUACUUUAUGAAUAAGGAUCGGCUAAAGCCGCGCCAGCAGCCGCGGUAAUACGGAGGAUCCGAGCGUUAUCCGGAUAUAUUGGGUUUAAAGGGAGAGUAAAUGGGUUGUUAAGUCAGUUGUGAACGUUUGCGGCUCAACCGUAAAAUUGCAAUUGAUACUGGCAGCCUUGAGUACAGUUGAGGUAGGCGGAAUUCGUGGUGUAGCGGUGAAAUGCUUAGAUAUCACGAAGAACUCCGAUUGCGAAGGCAGCUUACUAAACUGCCACUGACAUUGAUGCUCGAAAGUGUGGGUAUCAAACAGGAUUAGAUACCCCUGUAGUC